rnacentral:lncRNA from 1 species
AGAUUAUCAGUCCAGCACUGGCAGUAUUGACAAUAAAACUACUUGACUUGACUUAACUUAACUUGACUUGACUUCAGCCAAACAUUUGCCAAUUCUUUAUGCUAUCUGGUUUAGAUUGUCUGAAAUCAACUACUAACUGUUCUCGGAGAGACCGGACAGAUUUUCAGCUAGAGAUAAAUGAAAGUAAAAUGCUUUUGGCUUGGAUUCCCAGAAUUUUCCCAGAAUUAAGAAUGUUUAUCACAAGGGGAAAUCCGGAAAAAUAUGAAUCAAGUGAGACUUGAAUAUAAUAAUUAUAUAAGCUGUUACCAAUUAUUACCAACCUCUCUGGUAGAGUUCUGAUUAACCGUGGCUGUGAAUCAGUGGAAAUACCCAACAGAAACUGCUAUACACAUUUACUCUGUGUGUGUGUGUGUGUGUGUGUGUGUGUGUUUUAUGGUCUGGUCUGUGAUCGUUAACGCCCAGAGGCAGAAAGGCAGUACUAGAGCGAGGCUCACACUGGCUGCUGUUAGCUGCAGGCUCGCUCGUAUUGGCACUGCUGUAUUUGUUGGGGGGAUUUCCAUCGACUCACUGCUGUAGAGACAACCAGAGGAGAUCAUGGCAAGAGAGUGGAGAAUGUAUACAAAUUCCAGAGGCUACAAGGAAACAUGCUGUAAUGGUGAGCAUGUGAGCUUAUGGGAGAUGAAAAUGGAUCCACAUUUGGACAACCACUACCUGCGUAUGAGAUACACCCCCUCGUAUCCGCAACCUGUGGUCUUUUAUGUCCCCGAUGUGAUGCAUGUGACAGAUGAAAGUGGACUUCAGGGCAUCUUUAUGGAUGGCGGCUUCCGGAUUGCGCACUAUGGGAAAAACAACUUCCUGUGGUUUAGCCUGUCGGUGACUGACAACAACAUUGCUGAAGCUGAGGACAAUUUCCUAGGAUAUAUAUACCCAGAUGGUUGGAACCAGCAGGAAGGUUUCCUGAAGGAUUUCACCACCUCGCCUGCGUUCCAGAGCGAGUCUCGUUACGGCAACUUCUGCUUCACCUUUUCUCUAAGGGAGCUCCUUUCUCAUUACGCCUCCCAGUUCUGUUAUAAAAGUGCCCCAGUUUUUCGUGUUUUGGGCACAAAGAUCUACAAGCAGGAGAUUAUGUACUCCGUUUUGGUGCAUCCACGACACAUUGGCCGCUAUAAACAUUUUCCUCGGCUGCCUCGUGGUGAUGAAGAGGUGUGCGGGUACUCUCAAGGCCAGAUGUCAUGGAGCUGUCAGGCUCCAUCAGGCACCCAUUACCACAGGUUUGAAGUGGAUAGGAAGGAUGGAACAGUGUAUGGGAGCAGACUUGGACCCCCAAUACAUUAUGUGUGGGAUCACGUGACUGUGGCCUUCCACAUGGAGCCGCAGUGGGUCCUGCAUGUGAAUCGGACCCGGCUGUAUCAGACCGUGACCGUGUGUAAGGUCGCUCAAGUGAAUCUCCUGAGGGAUCCAGGCGCUGCCCUCAGUAAGGACAAAGCUAAGAGGAUACUGGAGCUUUUGGGUAGAAACUACCGCCUAGUCUAGAAUCUACUACUGACCUGUCUAGUGUGUUUGCACUUAAACACGUGUUUCUGGGAGUCUGUAUGUGUGAGAUUGUAUAGUUUUAAUACUUAUUUUUACAUAAAGCUUUAUCUGUGCCUCCUUCUUUUCCCAGAUUUAAUUGGUUUAAAUAAAAUGCCACACAGGUGAUGCCUAGCUGUGAAG